rnacentral:rRNA from 1 species
AGAUAAUAGAUACCCUGGUAGUCCUAGCCGUAAACGGUGCAUAUUUGAGGUGGGAGGAUUCGACCCCUUCCGUCUUGUAGCUAAACGCGAUAAAUAUGCCGCCUGGGGAGUACGGUCGCAAGAUUAAAACUCAAAGAAAUUGACGGGGGCCCGCACAAGCGGUGGAGCAUGUGGCUUAAUUCGAUGCAACGCGAAGAACCUUACCUGGCCUUGACAUGUAUGUAGUAGAAGGAUGAAAGUCUGACGAGGUAGCAAUACCAGCAUACACAGGUGCUGCAUGGCUGUCGUCAGCUCGUGCCGUGAGGUGUUCGGUUAAGUCCGGUAACGAGCGCAACCCCUAUGACCUGUUGCCACCCCGAGUAAUCGGGAGCACUCUGGUCAGACUGCCCUGCAUAACGGGGAGGAAGGUGGGGAUGACGUCAAGUCAGUAUGGUCCUUACGGCCAGGGCUGCACACGUGCCACAAUGCCCAGUACAGAGGGAAGCCAACUCGCGAGAGGGGAGCCAAUCCCAGAAAACUGGGCUCA